rnacentral:sRNA from 1 species
UGAUGUGCAGUAUAUCCACUCCGAUUUC